rnacentral:rRNA from 1 species
ACCUAAUAGAUACCCCGGUAGUCCACGCCCUAAACGAUGCGAACUGGAUGUUGGGUACAUUACGGUACUCAGUGUCGAAAGCUAAACGCGUUAAGUUCGCCGCCUGGGGAGUACGGUCGCAAGACUGAAACUCAAAGGAAUUGACGGGGGCCCGCACAAGCGGUGGAGUAUGUGGUUUAAUUCGAUGCAACGCGAAGAACCUUACCUGGCCUUGACAUCUGUCGAAUCCUGCAGAGAUGCGGGAGUGCCGCAAGGAACGACAAGACAGGUGCUGCAUGGCUGUCGUCAGCUCGUGUCGUGAGAUGUUGGGUUAAGUCCCGCAACGAGCGCAACCCUUGUCCCUAGUUGCCAGCACAUCAUGGUGGGAACUCUAGGGAGACUGCCGGUGACAAACCGGACGGAAGGUAGGGGUAGUGACGUC